CUGCGCACCCCGUCGGCGCUGCCCCGACCCGGGCCCGGAGGGGGUUCGAGGGUCUCCGCCGCGGGGCUGGGCUGCGGCCCGCGACCAAGAAUUAAAACAUAGGCCAGGGUGACCGGGGGCGACGGAGAAUGAGACACGUUCCAGAAGUUCACGGGAUGGAAGAAGGGCCCGACGAGGCGGCCGGGCAACAGCGGUCGCCGCGAGGCUCUUACGGGACUGACCGUUUAUUUCAGGUGCCUGGCCCUGGCCGGUGGUCGAGCGUCUACGCAGCCGCGUCUUGCCGGGAGCCGCGGGGAAGCGGAGCGGGACCUGCGGCCGCGUCCUGGGAGCCCAGGCGGCCGCUCACCGCAGAGAUGAUCCACACUAGUAUUUUAUUGCCACGAUGUUUAAAUUCUUCAUUCAAACCCAACCAAGAAAUUUUACUUACUCCAAUAUUUGUGGCCCAGAAGAGACACUGCAAUGCAUAAGGCUGCCGACAGAAGGACACCAGCAAGGCACAGGAAAUCUGAAUAAUCUUCAGUGGCUCAGAAUUGAAUGGAAGCUAAGCUGCAAACUCAUCAUUCAAGGUCUCCUAUAGUCAGAGUCCAGUCUACCUUGGCUGAAUGAGCUUCACAGAUUUUUCACCUCAGUUGAACUCCUUCCGUCACUGUCUUCCAACCACAUGGCGCGAUGGCAUUUGCACAAGCUGUUCUAAAACAGAAAGGUCACAGGUGUGCCCAGCUGGCUCCGACGGGGAAGGCUGCGACUCUCAAUCUUGGGGUCAUGAGUUCAAGCCCCAUGUUGGGUGUAGAAACUACUUUUUAAAUAAAUACAUAAAAUAUUCUUUUAAAAAUGGAAAC
rnacentral:lncRNA from 12 species